GGCUCAGGAUGAACGCUGGCGGCGUGCUUAACACAUGCAAGUCGAACGAAGACAUCUGAGUGCUUGCACUUUGGCAGACUGAGUGGCGGACGGGUGAGUAACGCGUGGGUAACCUGCCUUGUACUGGGGGACAACAGUUGGAAACGACUGCUAAUACCGCAUAAGCGCACAGCUUCGCAUGAAGCAGUGUGAAAAACUCUGGUGGUACAAGAUGGACCCGCGUCUGAUUAGCUGGUUGGUGAGGUAACGGCCCACCAAGGCGACGAUCAGUAGCCGGCCUGAGAGGGUGAACGGCCACAUUGGGACUGAGACACGGCCCAAACUCCUACGGGAGGCAGCAGUGGGGAAUAUUGCACAAUGGGGGAAACCCUGAUGCAGCAACGCCGCGUGAGUGAAGAAGUAUUUCGGUAUGUAAAGCUCUAUCAGCAGGAAAGAAAAUGACGGUACCUGACUAAGAAGCCCCGGCUAACUACGUG
rnacentral:rRNA from 1 species